rnacentral:rRNA from 1 species
GACGAACGCUGGCGGCGUGCUUAACACAUGCAAGUCGAGCGGUAAGGCCCCUUCGGGGGUACACGAGCGGCGAACGGGUGAGUAACACGUGAGCAAUCUGCCCAUCACAUCGGGAUAACUCCGGGAAACCGAAGCUAAUACCGAAUACGACCACCACCGGCAUCGGAUGGUGGUGGAAAGUUCCGGCGGUGAUGGAUGAGCUCGCGGCCUAUCAGCUUGUUGGUGGGGUAAUGGCCUACCAAGGCUUCGACGGGUAGCCGGCCUGAGAGGGUGACCGGCCACACUGGGACUGAGACACGGCCCAGACUCCUACGGGAGGCAGCAGUGGGGAAUAUUGGACAAUGGGCGAAAGCCUGAUCCAGCAACGCCGCGUGAGGGAUGACGGCCUUCGGGUUGUAAACCUCUUUCAGCAGGAACGAAGCGCAAGUGACGGUACCUGCAGAAGAAGCACCGGCCAACUACGUGCCAGCCGCCGCAGUAAGAC